rnacentral:lncRNA from 1 species
AAUAAGGUAAGGAAUGCAUGAAAAAACGGGGAAAGUAGGAAGAAGAGCACGGUUCGUGCGUUUUCUACACAUGAUCGUGCGUUUUAGGGCUAAAUUGGGGAGGUCGUGUGUUUCAAAGAGAGAAAGUCCAGGGAACAUACGCACGGCCUGUGCAUUUUAUGCACGACCGUGCGUUUUAGUGUGUUGGCUUGUAAGGGGACCGUGCGUUCCUUGUGUGCAGA